UCCGAAGGGAGCUAGCGUUGUUCGGAAUCACUGGGCGUAAAGCGCACGUAGGCGGAUGUGUCAGUCAGGGGUGAAAUCCCGGAGCUCAACUUCGGAACUGCCUUUGAUACAGCACGUCUUGAGUCCGAUAGAGGUGGGUGGAAUUCCUAGUGUAGAGGUGAAAUUCGUAGAUAUUAGGAAGAACACCGGUGGCGAAGGCGGCCCACUGGAUCGGUACUGACGCUGAGGUGCGAAAGCGUGGGGAGCAAACAGG
rnacentral:rRNA from 1 species